UACGUAGGGUGCAAGCGUUGUCCGGAAUUAUUGGGCGUAAAGAGCUCGUAGGCGGCUCGUUGCGUCGGCUGUGAAAACCCACAGCUUAACUGUGGGCCUGCAGCCGAUACGGGCGAGCUAGAGUUCGGUAGGGGAGACUGGAAUUCCUGGUGUAGCGGUGAAAUGCGCAGAUAUCAGGAGGAACACCGGUGGCGAAAGCGGCGGACUGGACCUCUUCUGACGCUGAGACGCGAAAGCGUGGGGAGCAAACAGG
rnacentral:rRNA from 1 species